rnacentral:lncRNA from 1 species
CAAGACCGAAACAAUAGAUCAAAAAGGAUUCAUAAUACACAACUUGUAAAUGAAAUUUCAAAACCCCUUUGUCAAUUCAUGAUUUCUCAACAUUAAAAAUGUUUUCACCAUGCCCAUGUUUUUUGUGGAAAAAUUUUGACUUAUUUAGAGUCGCCACUUAAUUUUGAAAAAGGAAUUAAAAAACCUUUAUAAAAUACUUUAAACGAUCCAAAACAGAAAAAUCGUUUAAGUUUUGAAGAUUUUGAGUAUGAGGUUCCUAUUAACGUUUUAGGAAGGUGUUACGCACCUAAAACGUCCGCUAACUUGCAGUUAUCCAGACUGUUUGAAAACGUCUUUUGACUAACUUCAAAAAGAUUAAUUUGCUGAAAAGUAGUUGAUUAGGAAAAAGUUUUUGCAAAAUUAGUUUUUUAGCGACUUAGUUAGGGAUUCAACUAGGUUCUCAAGAAACACGUAAAACAAGUAAGAAAAAAGGAAAGGGGUAAGAGGAGAAGGAAAGGGGAGAAAUAGUGAUUUAGGCUUUUAAGCCCAAACCGUCGACCCUGUCCUAAUCUAGUUGGGUUUUUGACCCAUUUUCACCUGUCCUAAUUCUUUAUUUCCGAGCCCCUUUUGGCUCGAUUUUCACUCCAUCUGUAUUAAAUAAAACUUAGGCUUCGUGGCCCAAAUGAAUAAAAUAAAGAAAUAAGACAACAAAGAAAUGAAUACAUAUAGACAACGAUAAAUUACUAAGCAAAUAAAUGAGACUUUUAAGUCUCAUAGCCACUUCGAAUAUGAGAUUUUAACCCGUGCUUCUUCCUUGAACUCCUUGCGUCCGUGCACUAUGAGAUUGUCUACUUAAGGCCUUCUUUCGGGCUUGACUCGAUGCAAUGGGCCUUAAUGGAUUGUUAUGAAAUGCAAAAGGAAAGAGUCCAUUUGGACUCCCAAGCAGAUUCAUGCACAAAAAACAAUGAAAUAUAAAGAAUUAAUACUAUGAUAAAAUAAGCAGGUAAGAUAACAAAGAAAAACAUGUAUCAAAUGCACAUAAAGGGACGUCAAUGGAACAUUCAAGGAAACUUUAUUUUGAUUAAAAUACUUCUCACGCCAAUAAUUUAAAGAAGAGCAGCGACAAUCAACUUUAAUCAGCUAAGACAAAUGUUUGUUCCCCCAUGAAUGUUAGCAAAAAUAACCAUCCCUUAUUUUGUUUAAAAACCAGUUGAUAAAGUAGCAUACAGUCAAGUCCUUUACGUUUGACGCUUUAGCUUAAGCCAUACUUAACCAGAUAAAACAUCUAACUAUCAUUCAAAAAUCCAUGAAGCACCAAGAUUAGGAACUAUAAUGACAAAAUACAUCACCAUUUCUAUCAUAUUAGGUCGAGAAAGGUGUAGUUCUAGCUUUAAUUGAUUACAAAGAAAACUCCUUACACAGCCUGAAUUACCACAAAUUUAUUAGAGAUAACAUUCGCGGUAGAUGGAACAAAAAGUCUAUACCUACAACCUCCUAAAUAAAAUCUUGACCUUGACUCAAAAGAACUACUUACAGAGAAAACCAUUUCUUAAUGACAUUUGGAUUUUAGCAUAUUCCCACAGAAUGGAGUAUAGGGAGUAAGUGUAGCAAUCCGCGCCACUACCUCAGAUGAAGUAGAGCGGUUGUUACGUCAGAUAAAGUAGAGCGGUUGGUUCCCACAGCCCCCGGCUCAGGACAAAAAUAGUGCGAUCAAGUCACAAGAGCCAAAAUAGAGAAAACUAACUACAUAAAAAAUCAAAGUAAAGAAACAUAGAAAUCUAAACUGGAAAUGCCACAAUGUCACAACUUUUCAAAGAAAAAUCAAGCAUUGGGUCACAAAGAAACCCUCCUUCUUUUAUCAAACAAAAUUAACAAUUAGAUCACAAAUUAAACCAUCAGAUCUUUACACAAAAUGCUAGAAAACUAUCUUUUUUUUAACAAAGCAAGACACAAAGUGAAUCAAAAAAGCAAGAUUAAACCAACUGACAAGGCGGGAAAAGUUCAAGUCCUAUCAGAGAUGACCUCAAUCGUGAAGAAUGGAAAACAAAAUGGGACAAAAACACUCGAAAUGAAUCUGGAAAGAUACACUCAUCCGGGUUGGGUUGAGAUUCAUUGAAUCAGAGAUAUGAGUCAGACCACACUCGACGUCAUUAUACAGUAAACCACAGCAAAGAACUACAAUGAACCUAAACCAAGAGAAUAGUGAAUCAAAAGACCACAGCAGACAACAUUCUAGCUAAAACGGUAAACUAGGUUUUGAGAUGAAAUGUAUUACUAUGGAUCUAAGCUAUCGCGAACAAUAUCAGAUGUGAAAUCAAGAAUCGAAAAUCAUAGCAAGUAGGAUUCUUCGGAAAUCAGGAUUUAGUGAUAAAAAUAAAGAAUAAAAAAAAAUAAAGAUUGAAUCUUGAGUGCUAAACUACAGGUAACAGACUAAAGGGGUUAAGACUAAAGCAAGGAAAAUGUUAAACUACGAAUUUAAGCAUGCUACAUGAACAAUAGCGACAAACGAAAGAUAAAGGCUAAAACAACAAAUCGAAUUCAAACUCGUGUGAACCUCAUGAAUCAUAUGAACAUAAAGGUAUUUGAAACAAGGAUCAUACCAAUAUACACACAAUAGCACACCCCAACGUAUCCCCUUAAGUCGAUAAAUCAAAACCGCUCUAAAAAAAAAAACUAGACAGUAUUCAAGCAGCCGAUUCAAGCUAUGGACUUGCUGACCACUAACAUUGUUAAUUAGGAGACAGUAUAUUCAACAUAAACACAGAAAAUUACGAAAUGAUACUGAUUCGGCGAAAUAGCAUAACAACAAUCACAAACACCUCCUAACACCAUCCCGGGCAUCCACAGUGAACAAAUCCCAGCCUCAUUCAUGAUUAUUAUUAAACAGUUGACUAAUACUAUGGAUAAUACACGUCAAAUGGCUGCCUUAUCUUUCAAUGAUAUCCUUCAAAGUCUCUACGGGAAGAAUCAAGCUUUGGUCGUAUGGAGGGCACAGGAUCAUGCUUGGAGGGGUUGUUAUGAGCAUGCCAUUGGACAAAUCCAAGAGUGGAAGAUUGCUUGGACCCUUGAAGACUUGAGGACUCUUAGGUUGAACCACACUUUGUUGGUUCACGGUUUUAUCUCCCUUCAUUAAGGGCAUUUUGGUCACUUAGCCUUAAAGGCAUUUUGGACAAUUCAUAGUAUUUUCCAACACACCAAGGCCACCCCUUGGUCAUUUAGGGUGUCUUAGUUAUUUUACCAUGUAAUAAGCUAGGCUAUAUAUAGUCUCUUUUAGGUCUUUUCUUACUAGUUUUUGAAUGAUGAAUAUGUAAAAGACUUCUUCUCUCUUUGAGAGUGUAACAUCCUUAGUGUAGGGCUUGGAUAAGCCAUUAGUGUAGGGCUUGCAAAAGCCUUUAUUGAUCUUUGCUUAGAAGUGAUGGUUGUAAGGUGGAGUUGAUUCCCUUAGCGGUCACCGUAAGAAGUUGGUACUUGUUAACUUGUUUUGUAGAGGUUUUAGAGUUUUGAUACACUCUUUAGUUGCUACCUAAUGGAUUCACUUUAUGUCAAGUUAGCUAUCUUUUACACUUUUUAAGUUUAUGUUUACUUCUCGUAUCCUGUUGUUUUCUUGUUGUUGCGGGUAAGGGUGAUGUGUGAGCAGAUGCUAACACAUUUGAGGCUUUUAACUCAAAAUAAUAGCAAAGUCUUAAGCAACUUUUUUUAGUUUUGAUUGUUUUUAUUGUGUUAAUGCAAAUGUGAGUGAUUAGGGAGGAAACAAAAGGAAAGAAGAACAAAUCAGUUAGAAUCCGGUGCAAAUAAGCUAAAGUAAAGCUGACGACAUUUCUGAAGCGUCGUCAGAUAUGUGAAAGGCUGUCAAAGUCACUGUCAAGAAUAUACAGAAUCUGAAGAAUUGAAGUGUCAUGUGACGACCUUUUUGAAGCGCUGUCACAACUGUGAUAAGGCAUUAAAAUUUUCGUCAACUCGAAGCUGAACAUGAUGAUUUCCAAUAAAGAUGUGACGAUAUUUUUCAUGUGCCGUCACUUAAUUGACACUCCGUCAGAUUUGCCGCCAGAAGACUCAGAAGAUAAAAAUUCACUGGAAUCUUUGAUGAUAUCUUGCACACGUCGUCAAGAUCGCCGUCAACUAUUCCGAAGAGAAAACUGAAAUC